GAUGAACGCUGGCGGCGUGCUUAACACAUGCAAGUCGAGCGAGAAGUUUUGAAAAGAUUCUUCGGAUGAAAUUUAAAAUGGAAAGCGGCGGACGGGUGAGUAACGCGUAGGCAACCUGCCCCAUACAAAGGGAUAGCAUUUGGAAACGAAUAUUAAUACCUUAUGAUACUUAACUAGUGCAUGCUAGGUAGGUCAAAGAUUUAUCGGUAUGGGAUGGGUCUGCGUCUGAUUAGCUAGUUGGUGAGGUAACGGCCCACCAAGGCGACGAUCAGUAGCCGACCUGAGAGGGUGAACGGCCACAUUGGAACUGAGACACGGUCCAAACUCCUACGGGAGGCAGCAGUGGGGAAUAUUGCACAAUGGGGGAAACCCGGACGCAGCAACGCCGCGUGAACGAUGAAGGCCUUUGGGUCGUAAAGUUCUGUUCUAGGUGAUGAAAACUGACAGUAACCUAGGAGAAAGCCCCGGCUAACUCCGUG
rnacentral:rRNA from 1 species